GACUUUGAUCGACUCCACCAUCUACCCACGCAAGCCUAUUCCGUCAAGAAAAGAUCUGUCUCCUCUAGAAUUUUCAUCUGUCGUGCUGAGAGAAGGAGUGAUUUCUUAUUCUACAGAUCAUAUGCUGUCAAGGAUCUUCGUUCCUUAACAGUUGAUCUUUGAUUUUCUUUUUUUAAAUCCGAUGUUGGUAAAGACCUAGUUCUUUAUCGAUGGAUCUGUUUGGUUAAAAGAUUAAGAGCCCUAAUCAGAGUAGUUUCUUAACUACCACGAUCCGGAUUCUUAUCAUCUUCUUGGAUUUUCUCACG
rnacentral:lncRNA from 1 species